GAGUUUUGUCUCCAGCAGAACGGACCUGCAUUUGGGAAGUGGACAGGUGAGUGUCACCCGCAUCCUUGCCUUCUGGCUGGACAGGUGAUAUUGCUCCAUGAAGUAUCGGGCAAACAGCUGUGUUGCCAAAACCAAACCAAGAAAGGUACAGUAGAAGGACUAGUAACCCAGGAGCUAUAGGAUGUGGCUCUGCUCUCUGCUCUUCUACAGCUUCAAGAGGCUUUGGCAAAUUCCUGAGCUUCACUGGUCCUCAGUUUCCCGUUCUGUACAGUCAGCGAGUCUUACCAGAUACUGGAUCAUCUCCAGGGCUCUUUCUUGUACUAAUAGCCACUGGAGCAUAAGCUCCUUAAAAGAGGGCAGAAAUUUUGUUUUGUUUUGGUUUGGUUUUCCUCCUAAUGUUUCCCAGAUGCCUUGAAGAAAGUCCAUUGUAUAUGCCCAGUGAAUAGUUGCUGAAUGAAUGGAUGAAGACGCUGCGAUUCUAAGGUCUUGUAGUGAACUGGAAAAGGUAUGGUUUGUUUUUGUUUCGGGGUUUUUGGAUUUUUUGAGAUGAGGUCUCACUCUCUCACCCAGGCUGAAAGUGUAGUAGCGUGAUCGCAGCUCACCGCAAUCUCAAACUCCUGGGCCCAAGUGAUCUUCCUACCUCAGUAUCUGGGACUACAGGGGCGUGCCACCACACCUGGCUAAUUUGAAAAGAGACAAGUUGUUACCUGCUGUGUUGCCCAGGCUGGGGGACCAUGUGUCUUUAUGCAGAACACACCAGGCACUUCCAGAGGUGGCCAGCUUUCCCCAGAAAGGACCUCUCACAGACUUUUUCUUUCCAUUUGUUUGUUUGUUUGUUUGGCUUUCAGUGGUGGACACCUGGAUUGCCUCCAAUUCUGUCCUAGCACAGGCUCUGUACAAUAAACAUCCUUGCAUGGGUCCCUAUAGCAGGCUUAAGAUGGACCCCAAAGGUAUCAAGUCCUAA